rnacentral:rRNA from 1 species
GACAGAGGGUGCAAACGUUGUUCGGAAUUACUGGGCGUAAAGCGUGUGUAGGCGGUUGUCCAAGUCGGGUGUGAAAGCCUUGAGCUCAACUCAAGAAAUGCACUCGAUACUGGGCGACUAGAGUGCCGGAGAGGAUAGUGGAAUUCCCAGUGUAGUGGUGAAAUACGUAGAGAUUGGGAAGAACACCAGUGGCGAAGGCGGCUAUCUGGACGGUUACUGACGCUAAGACGCGAAAGCGUGGGGAGCAAACAGG